rnacentral:tRNA from 1 species
ACUAAAGUAGCUUAAUCAAAGCAUUGAUUUUGUAAGUCAACGAUAGUUACCAAACUCUUUUGUGCC